GUAGCAAAAAGAUGUUGGCUGUGUAAUGGCUGCUAUGCUUGCCUUAACAUCUAGAAAACUGUUGGUAGAUUUAGAUUAGGUUGUCUGAUCUAAAGGUGUUAAAACCCUUGCUUUAGAAGUACUUAUGAUGUACCUAACUGAAUUGUAAGUUCCAGUUAAUGGCUGUAAAGUCAAGAAGACUUAUUUAUUUAUUUAGUUUGUAAGACACUUACAGGUAGUGAACUGCUGAAGGAUACCCCUUGUAUUAUCACGGAGUUGCUAUUUUAUUUAUCAUCAAGUUGUUGUUUUGUCGUUUAUCGCCAAGUUGUUGUUUCGUUUAUAGUGACCUGAGUAAUUGACUGUUCCAUAAAUAUAUUUUUACCCAGAAUUGUGUUCUCCUUUGACUUGUGAAAAUAUAUCGAUGUGUACAUGGACAAAGUCAAGGGAGUGCGCCGUGCCAAGUUUAUGCAAUUCUCUGAUGUUUUUUAAAGUGAAAAUGGGUCGACGUGUACAUGGAUAAAGGGAGUGCACAAUAGCCUAGUUUGUGCAAUUCUGUGAUUUUUUUAAAAUUGAAAAUAGGUCAAUGUGUACAAGGAUACCGAGUUUGUGCAAUUCUUUGACUUGUUAUUUUGUUAGCGGCGAUUUUCGUAGCUAAAAUCGCUGCUACACAAAGUCAAAAUAACAAGUCAAAGAAUAAUUGUACAAGCUUGGUAUCCAUGUACCACCAAAAAUCAGAAAUUUUUACCAAAGGGGUACCUGUAAGUAUGCAUUUACCGAAUAAAGUUUUACUUGCUGAUGUGUUUGUGCUCCUACAAUUAAUUUAAGCUACAGGUUGCAGCAUAGCUUUAAGGUAACAGUGAGGGCAUGAGAGACAAGAGUUUGAACUAGAUAACCAACUUACAGAUAUUUGUAUUGAUAAACAUAAAUAUCAGUUUUUGUCAUGUUUAUAUGAAAAACAUAAUCUGAAGACUAUUGAUAGCAGUGCUGAUGAAAAGCUGUUAAUGUGCAGAAAAAUAAGUGAAGCUGAACGUUGUGAAAAUGACUUGAUACCAUGCAGCCUUCAUUGAAACUACAUUGCCUCAGUUUUGUUGGAAAGAUUUUUUCAACCUCUACGUAACGAAUUUUGUUUAUAUACUGUUGAGCAAAUAUAUAAUUUAGAAGUAAAAUCAGCUGCUCAAUCAAAGGGUUUUAGAGAUCUUGCCAAAUGUCUUGACAGGCAUAGCAGUUCUGUCACAUUGUGCAUUCCAGGAAAAUGGGUUGUUACUAAUUCUUCUGUGCAUGCCCAUUUUGGAAAUAAAUUAUGCAGGUUAUGGGCCCAGAUAGCGCUUAACUGUGCAUUCCAACUACCAUUGUUAAAUUCUUUCGGCAAGCCAAGCUGCGUCGACUGAAAUGAAAAUGGCGACGACUAAUACAGUGUCAAUUGAAAAGCUAAACAAGGACAACUUUAAUACGUGGAAGUUGCAAAUGGAAGCAAUACUGAUUAAAAAUUAUCAUUUGGACUAUGUAACUGGGAAAAUUCUGAAACCAAACCUGGUG